ACAGCAUUUGAAACUUGGAGACCUAAUUUUUCUCUUGAUUGUUUUUGCUAUCUCUGCUUUAUGAAUUUUAUGUAUUUUGUGAUUCUUGAGAUGCUAUUCAUUUGAACUUAUCUAGGGGGAAAAGCUUUGAAGCCUGAGUUGAAAAUGGGUUCUUCCAGAAAGAAUUUGUAUGUUUCUGGAUAACAUAUUAUAUGUUCUAAACAUAGCAACAACAAUAUGUCUCUUCCCACACACUCUUCUUAUGAUGUUACUUUGACACUUCUCCCAUUGAGAAGUGGGAUCUAUGCCCCUGUUCUUUGAAUCUGGGACGGCUUAUGAUCAGGGUACUAAUUCUGUGUGACUUCUACUGCUGGGAGGUAAAAUGACAAUAUUGUUUCUUCUUGUUUUUCUUGGGAUGCCUUGCACUUGGAACCAACCACCAUGCCCUGAGAAAUCAUGUAGCUCCAUGGUACUCUGAGCCAGUGGCCUCAGAUGACAUCCUAGCCAACAGCCAGCAUCAACCACCAGACAUGUGGAUGAAUCAGCCUUCAGAUGAUCCCAUUUCCACCAACUCACAACUCUUCAAGUCUUAUCAGAUGGGGCACAAGACAUCAUGGCAUAGAGACUAACUGUCCCUAUUUUACACUACCCAAAAUCUUGGCUCAUGGAAUCUAUGAGUAUAUUAUUAUGACCAUUGUUUUGCUAUACAGAGUUUAAGGAGCCCAGGUUUUUACUGAACAACCAAUAAUCAGAAUACUUCUGUCAGAUAUUUGUGGGUGAAGUCACUCCAAAAGUACUUUAAGUUCUAGAUUUGAGGGUUUGAGAGCAAUAAAAGUGAUGUAACUGAAUUCUUAGAUUUUUUUUUCC
rnacentral:lncRNA from 1 species